rnacentral:lncRNA from 1 species
AGGUUAGGGUUUUUAUUUGGAAGUUAGAACAAUUUGGGAUUUCUUUAUGGACAUACAAAAUUAAAAUAUUUAUUUUUCUUCUUCAGAUAAUUAAUUACUUGAAACUGUGACCUGACUUCUGAGAAUUCAAACUCAAUAGACUUUUUUGUAAAUUAUUUGGUUGAAUCAAAUUCAAAGAGGAGAAACAAGAUGAAAUCAUGUUCUUUCAAUUUUUUUUUUGAUAGUUAAUUGUGUCUGUAGGCUUGUUGUGAUAAGAUGAGGACUGAUGGUCAUCAUUUAUCUCAGUAUCUCAUAUAUAAACCCUAAAACCUACUUUGAAUGCAAUCAGAGGCCAUUUAAACACCAAUUGUAUGUUGGAAUAGAUGCCACCUGAUCAAGCUUUUUGACGCGGCCAGGCGACCAGGCGAUGCCUGAGACCGCAUACCGCAUAUGCGACCGCCUGGUCGCAUAUGCGGUCAAAUAUGCGACAUGUUAUUUUUAUUAUUUUUAUCAUUAUUUUUUCAAUAUACCCCCUGUAUUUUCUAUAUUUUAAAUAAAUCCUUGAUAUUUAAGUCAUAAUAAAAAUCAUAAAUGAAAUAAUAUAGUGACUAAUGAUACUUAAACUCUUAAAAUCACAAAAACUUAAAGAAACAUUCAAAACAACAAAACUAUUAGUUUCAAACAUCAAAGUACAAGUGUAAUGCAAACACUUAGUUCUUAGUUCUAAGUUCUAACUACACUAGUGUGUCGUCAAGUUCAUCUUCGACGUCAUUCAAGUGCGGAUCCAUCAAGAACUCAUCAUCAUCUUCAUGCUCGUCAUUUCUUCUUGCUCUUGUUGAUGGUCCUUCAUGCUCGGGUACACCACUAGCUUCCCAUACAUUAGCCCAUGUCAAACCACCAUCUUCGUAGACAAAUUCACCAGAUGCUCCAUCGACACCCAUUACCCAUUCACUAGAGUAAUUGAUAUCACUUAUAGCAAUGGGAUCAUAGGUCUUAUCGUCUGUUCGAUUUAUUUUCAGAAAUCGAUCUUUCAAACGUUCGUUGUAGUUAAUAUACACCAACUUGUGCAACCGAUCAACUUCCAAACGAUUUCUUCUUUUGGUGUGAAUCUGAUGAAAAAAAUAACUUGAAAUUUCAUUUACAUCACAUAAGCAUACUUGAUUUUUUAUUCAAAGUCGCAAGUACUUACAAAAUCGAAAGUGCUCCAGUUUCUCUCACAACUAGAAGCUGUCGUAGUAAGAUUUAUGAUCCUCGUUGCCAACAACAUCAAUUCCGGAGUUGACACCCCAAAGUUAGACCACCAAUUUACUGAAAUCAAACAUAGUGAGUGACACCCCUAAGGUCCUAAUUGCCUAAGUAAGAUUUUAAUAAUUCAAUCUUAAAUUCUGAAAUCACUUACUAGGAUCCGUUGUUGGAAGCGUGUCGAUGGCUACCUUCAUUGAGAAGUCACCUGUUUUAUUCUUGUAACAAAUGAGUUGUUCCAUGAUUUGUGAAUGCUCUUCAAGAGGUGUCAUUCUUAGCAUACAAUCUCUGAAAUCUUUUUCAUGUCUUAGUGCCUUCAUAAGCCCUUCUCUAGAUCUAUUUCAAAAGUAAGCAAUUAGUCUUUGAAAGUUGAAACCUUUAAAAAAAAAAAAGGUAAAAAGCUUACCCCUCCUUCAAAUCGUAGUAAAAAUGGGGGUUUAGAAAUGCAUCAGCUCCAAACAAAGGCUUCUGAAAAUGUUUGUCCCAACGCUUGGUGAAAAUCGCCUUUAGUUUAGUCAACAUCACCGGCUUACUUGCGGAAAAUGUUUGUCCCAACGCUCGGUGAAAAUCGCCUUUAGCUUAGUCAACAACACCGGCUUACUUGCGAAGUGAGUUUCAAUUCUUUUUCUUGCAACUUCCAAACGAGGAAUGACCUCUGCCAUUGAUGGUUUACUAUCUUCAUCAACCAAUCUCAACAAAAUCACCAAUGGUUCAGAAGCUGCCAUACAAUCAUCCAAAUUUUUCCAAAAAAUACUGUUGAAGAUAUGACCAUGAAUCUGUUGUCCAAUCCCAACAUCAAUCCAUUUACGUCAAUCUAAUGCACUUAAGGCAUCUCGAUGUUUCUUAAUGCUCUGUAAGAUGAGAAAUGAUGUAGCAAAUCGAGUAACCCCACAACGGACUAACUCUCUGUUGUUGGAUUUUUUCAAAAACUCGCAAUGUAUCAGUGAAUGAUUGUAAAUGUAGUUUGUGAUCUUACGACCCAUCACAAUAGCAUUCUUCAGAGAGCUAAUCUUCCCAAUGUCUUCUAACAUCAAAUCAAUACAGUGGGCGACACAAGGGGUCCAAUACAAAUGAUCAUAUUUCUCCAUUAGUUUCUCCCCAGCUUUAACGUAGUUGGUCGCAUUAUCAGUACAAAUUUGAACAACAUUUUUGACUCCUAUCCUUUGCAUCGCUUUAUCUAAGGUAGAUGCAAUGUAAUCGGCAGUUUUCGUUUCCGCUGAAGCGUCAAUAGAGUAUAAAUAGAAUGAACCCUUGCUUGAAUUCACUAUAAAGUUGAUAAUUGAUCUUCCCCUCUUAUCCGUCCAGCCAUCAGACAUGAGCGAACAACCAGAUAGACGCCAACAUUUUUCGUGGUCUUUCUUCAUUUCAUCAAUUUCUGUAACCACACCUUCUAGAAGAGAGCCGCGUAAUCUACUGAUAGUUGGAGGUGUAUAACCCCAACCAUACCUUCCAACAUAACGUGGAAAUCGAAACAAUCUCGUACAUUGAAAGGGAUGCCGGCGUUGUAGAAGAAUUUCGCCACACAGAUAUCAACAAUAAGCCUUUCCUCUUUUUUCAACUGCUCAACAAUUAAUGGUUGUUUUGCUCCCAUUCUAGAUCUCACAAUGUCACUUAAUUUCUGUCCUUCUUUUAUGGACAAUGCACCUACGGCCGCGUUGAUCGAACGGUUCGAACCUGAUGAUGAACCUAUUGACGGCUUCACAAUAGUUGACCGCUUCUUUGCUCUCUUCGGAAGUGCAUAAUUAUCUUCAACUAUCAAUACAUCAUCAUCAUCAUCACUAGAUUCUUCUUCCACAACUUUCUUAGACAUUUUCAUUGCCAUUGCUUUAGCCUUCCUCGUAUUCUCAUACUGAAGCACUUCAUUAUGAACAAAUUUAGUUGAUUUUAGACACUUCACGCAAUUGCGGUCGCCUCCAAUGAUAUGCCCUUUCAACCGAGCAAUCCCCGCUUUCGAAAUGAAAUGGCAAAAAAGACACUUCACCUUGUUUGAGUCUUUAUUCACCAUAACCUCAUAUUUCCAAGCUGGAUCAUUUGAUUUUGGUCUCAUCAAUGGGCUUGUUUUUUCUUCUUCAGUGGUUAAUGGAUGCCAUUUGAAUUUCUUGUUUCCCUCGUCAUCCAAUUCCACAUUUUCUUCAAAAACAUUCAUUGGCUCAUCUUCUCCAUGAUCCAUGGUUUGAAUUUGUUCUUAAGUCUGAAAUUUAAGAAAACAGAUUAAGAUAUUAAUAUGUGAAAUUUAAGGGAAAAAAUUCAGAUGUUAGCUCUGAAUUCCUCAAUUCCCGAUUUAAUUUCAGAUUUAAUCCCCAGUCUGAAAUUCUGAACAUAAUCGAUGUCAUCUUCAAAUUUAUAUUUCAUCGAUAUAAAUUUAUAUUCAGAAUCUGAUUAUAAAUUUAUAUUCAUCGAUAUAAAUUUGAAUUUCAGAUGACAUCUUCGAUUUAAUUCCCCACUCUAAAUAUAAUCGAUGUAAUCUUCAAAUUUAUAUUUCAUCGAUAUAAAUUUAUAUUCACAAUCUGAUUAUAAAUUUAUAUUCAUCGAUAUAAAUUUGAAUUUCAGAUGACAUCUUCGAUUUAAUUCCCCACUCUGAAUAUAAUCGAUGUCAUCUUCAAAUUUAUAUUUCAUCGAUAUAAAUUUAUAUUCACAAUCUGAUUAUAAAUUUAUAUUCAUCAUUCAUCAAUAUAAAUUUGAAUUUCAGAUGACAUCUUCGAUUUAAUUCCCCACUCUGAAAAUCGAUUAUAAAACCACAUAAUUUCCCAACAGAUUUAAUACCUAACUAUGUGUAGAAAAAUCCAGCAGCGGAAGGCUAGCAGCAGUGCAGCACGAUUCCGACUUUCUUCAGUAGCAGGCGCAGCGCUAGGCGGUUCAGACUUCAGGUGCCCGAUUUCCGUUCAGGUCUUCAGGUGUCCGACUUCAAGUCUUCAAGGAUUCACCGAUUUCAGAUUUCACGAUUUAGGGUUUUUACUUUUUAGUGUUUUUUAUUUAAAUGGGUCUUUUUAAUAAGGUCCUUAAAUUUUAAUAGAAUAAUACAAUUCAUUUGAAGUUUUUAAAUUUAAUAGGGUUAAUGGAUCGGGUUUAUCCGGAUCCGACCUGGAUCCGGCUAAACCCAAUAAUAUGCGACCCCCCAAAUAUGCGAUGGGGGGUUACCGCCUGGUCGCAUAUACGACAAAUCAAAAAGCUUGCACCUGAUAAACCUGCAGUAGAAUUUGAACUCACGACUCCAAUAGUUCAAUAGAAAGGGAAAGAUGUGAAUUUACCUAAUAUAAUAAUUAUUUCAUUGAUUGAUUUGAUACUUGAACGAUCUCAUAUUCAUCAGCAAAAAGUAGGUUUACCGAUGGAUAUUGGUACGAUCAUCUUUGAUUAUUUGCAGGAUUGGUAGUUGGUACAGAAAUUGUACGAGGCGAAUAAAAUUUGAAUUUGAUGUAAUUACAUUGGGUAUUUAAUUAUUUACCCAUAGUUUUGAAAGUGUCGCUUUGAGCUCUAGGAGGAGCGUUUUUUCCAGUGCUUUUCCAAGAAUGGGUAAUCGGACGAGUUCAGGCAAAGAUCCGCCUGAUUACUUAAUUACACCUAUUUUCACCUAUUCUAACUUAAAUUAAAAAUCCUUACCCCACUUUCAGAUUUUAGUUGAAUUUAAUUGUAGUUGUUGCCUGUUGGACGCUUGGAUUUAAUUAUAGUUGUAUGAAUUAAAUCUUGAAUGUUAGGGUUACAUGUGAUUUUAUACCUUUAUAAGGUAUUUUAAAUUUUCUAUAGGUUUUCUAUAUAUUUAUUUAUAGAGGAUUGAUUAUAUGUAUUUUUACAGGAUAUUACUAAAAUACCC